AUUGAACGCUGGCGGCAUGCUUUACACAUGCAAGUCGGACGGCAACACAGAGAAGCUUGCUUCUUGGGUGGCGAGUGGCGAACGGGUGAGUAAUAUAUCGGAACGUACCGAGUAAUGGGGGAUAACUAAUCGAAAGAUUAGCUAAUACCGCAUAUUCUCUGAGGAGGAAAGCAGGGGACCUUCGGGCCUUGCGUUAUUCGAGCGGCCGAUAUCUGAUUAGCUAGUUGGUGGGGUAAAGGCCUACCAAGGCGACGAUCAGUAGCGGGUCUGAGAGGAUGAUCCGCCACACUGGGACUGAGACACGGCCCAGACUCCUACGGGAGGCAGCAGUGGGGAAUUUUGGACAAUGGGCGCAAGCCUGAUCCAGCCAUGCCGCGUGUCUGAAGAAGGCCUUCGGGUUGUAAAGGACUUUUGUCAGGGAAGAAAAGGCUGUUGCUAAUAUCGACAGCUGAUGACGGUACCUGAAGAAUAAGCACCGGCUAACUACGUG
rnacentral:rRNA from 1 species